rnacentral:lncRNA from 1 species
UUUUUUUUUUUUGAGCUGAAACACCCUUUGUUUAAGAAAAAUAUUCUGAUGGCUCAGAAUUCUCCCGCUUCCCAUUUUCCUUUUGAUCACCUAGGGUUAAGGUUUUCCUUCUGUACCACACCAGCCUCAGGGGACAGGUCUCCAAUCUACCCAGCCCACCUUUCUGAUGUGAUGUGCAAUUCAUACUUUUGCACAGUGCAUAACUUGGCUCUUGAUUGCUGUCCCUGCAUUCACGUUGAAACAGGGGUGUCCCUCUUUACUCUCCAGUUGCUAGUCGUGGGCACACACCGCCACCACCUCACAGUGUAAACAGAACAUGCACGUUAUCGAGAGAAAACGGGUAAGCAGAGAAGCAGCAGAACACACAGCAUCCCCUGCUCCCAACCCCCAUCACCCAGUGCUCCUAUCUAUGUGUACGUGGCCAAUGUCCCAGCAGAGGGGACACUCGAGUCAGUUACACCCCACACACCUGUAAGGCUAAGGGUCAGGGAAUCUGUGUGAUCCCUGUCAGCAGACACCUCCUUGUCAGGUGACAGCCCUGUCAGAAAGGCCAUCUGGGCUCCCAGGACUCUUCUCGCGCAGAACCAACUCACACCUGCUGAGCCGGCUCUCUGCUAAGCAACUGGGAGAGGAAACGAGAUUGGCUGCCAGGGACACUGGAUUUGUCUCUCAUCAGCAUAAAUCUAAUGGUUGAUCUUUUCUAUAUUUAAAUUUUUAUCUUGGAAUUCUCUGGCAUAAGGCAAAGAUCUGAUAUUUGGUCUCCUUAAAUAGUAGUUUUCAUAAUUUACCAAUUAGUUCUCUAGAGCUUCAGAACAAAAUAUCAUCACUGUCCACUAUCAGUUCUCUGAAUUCUUCCUUACCGAGUUUAUAUACUUCUAUUUAUUUUGCUAGGUCAUUUCUUGAGCCAGAGCCUUUAGGAUAAUGAUGACGCAGCACAAGCACAGUCAUGGCUGGCAUUCUUUUGCCAUGUGGUCCAACUUUAAUGGGCGCAUCCAGGGUUUCGCGCUGUGUGCUCCGCAUUCGCAUGUACGUGGAACUUCUGGAUUGUUAAGAAAAUGGCUUCGUUCCACCUCUUUCUCCUCCCUGCAGAAGUGGUCCAGUUAGCGGUCCUGCGUGCUCUCCACGCGGUGGGUGCGAGGUAUUCCAUCGAGAAUGGAUAAGCAACGCGGUCCCUACUGUACAGCCCGGGGAACUAUACCCAGUCUCUUGGGAUGGACCAUGAUGGAAGACAGUAUGGGAAAAGGAAUGUGUGUGUCACAUACAUAUCAUAUGUAUAUAUGAGUGUACAUAUAUGGUUGGGUCACCAUCCUGUACAGCAGAAACUGACACAAGACUGUAAAUCAAUUAUACGCUAAUUUAAAAAAUAAAUUAGGAGUUCCCGGCGUGGCUCAGUGGUUAACGAAUCUCACUAGAAACCAUGAGGUUGAGGGUUUGAUCCCUGGCCUUGCUCAGUGGGUUAAGGAUCCGGCGUUGCCGUGAGCUGUGGUGUAGGUCACAGGCGCAGCUUGGAUCUGGUGUUGCUGUGGCUCUGGUGUAGGCCAGUGGCUACAGCUCCGAUUCACCCCCUGGCCUGGGAACCUCCAUAUGCCGUGGGUGUGGCUCUAAAAAGACAAAAAGAAAAAAAAAUAAUAAAAAAAUUAAAAUAAAAAAUUAAUUUUUUAAAGGUAAUACAAUUCCAAAAUUAAAUGCCCACUCUCUAGGCAAACUGUCCCUUCGGCGGGUUGUUCCCAAGUCUCUCCUGGGGGAAAAAAGCAGCAAAGGCAAAAGCCCAUUGGUUUUCAUUCUAAGACUACCUUUCAAUACAGAUUUAUUUAUCUGUUUGAAAAUCAGUACUAUUUUCUCAUUCUAUCCGACUUUUAGGACCUUCUCUAAAUCAAAUCCAAAUUUAGGUGAGGCACAGAGAAAUAACAUACACUGUCCUCAAACUCCAAUAGUAUUUAUUGUUUAUUCAUACCCCUUAAAUUUCAAAAUGCACAAAAUACGGUAUAUUUUUCAUCAAUGAAAGUUCAUCAGACGAAAAAUUUAAGAAAUAUCUAAAUCAGAUAAACUCAAAAUUUAGGCAAAAAUUAAGGUAUAGUAGCACAUAUUUCCACUUCAAAUAAUGCAGUACAAUAAACCAGGAAGAUAAAAUUCGAUUUACCUUUUUAGAUAAUUAAGGCAGCGACAGUGAACUGUCACCUCUGCAUCUCAAUUUCAUCAUCUGUAUACCAAAAAUAACUGAACCUUACUCAUCCUUCCUAGUGAUUCCUUUCUUCAGCCCUGUGGGAAGGUCACUACUGUUUAUAAUGAUCUUGUGUGUAAAUCUUUUUUUCCUUGUUUUGUUGAUAUUUGUCUUUUUUUAAUUUUAUUGGAGUAUGGUUGGCUUACAGUGCUGUGCUUGUUCCAGAUGUACAGCAAAGUGAGUCCGUUGUACCUAAAGACACGCGUCUGCUCCUUUUCAGACGCUGUUCCCAUUUAGGGCAUCACACAGUAUUGAGAUUUCCCUGCGCUGCACAGUAGGUCCUCGUUACUUAGCUAUUUCACACCUAGCAGUGCGUAUCUGUUCAUCUUAACCUGCAAAAUGGCCCCACUAAGUGAAAUCUGACAAAGACAAAUACCUAACGUGUGGAGAGGCAAAUAUAAAGACUAACGUGUGGAAUCUGACUUUAAAAACGAUCUAAAAGACCCAUUCACAGAGCAGGAAGAUUCGGAGACUGAACUUACGGUUACCAAGGGAACUGCUGGCGGAAGGAUAAAUUAGGAGGGUGUGCUCUUAGUAAUAACUACCAUUUAUUGCGCACUCACUAAGCACAUCACACGCUCUGCCUCAUUCGAAAUGUUCUGUAAGUCAGUGACUGGGAACCACUGCCACCUUCAUUCCGCAGCUGAGGAAACUCAGGUACAGAACGGGCAUGUGACUUUCUCAAAAUACUCGAACUGGCAGAAUCAGAGCUCAAUUCUAAGUCUAAAACACUGACUCCAGCACCCAUCAUUUUGUUUAAUCAAUCACAGAACAAGUCGAAGUCCAUUCAUUGGAAACCUUCCUCAUAUGCUGGACACCCAGAUCGACUCCUUCGGGAGCUGUCCAUUCCUAGGACGAAAGAAAUUUGACAACUACAGGCUAGAAGAACUGUCACAAGAGCUACAUACAGAGUUGACGAAACAUUCUUAAUCUUGCCACUGUUUGCAGCUACAAAGACUUUGAGAUAAAGCUUAUUUUUGGUUUCUAAUCUCAUAACAGCACAGGGGUCCAGUUCGUACUAUCAUCCAUUUGCAUUUGAAAAAUAAAUUGACGCCGCCAAAGGAGAAAACCGAGUUUAACAGAAGCUGAUUCAAGUCCCUCCACCAUCGAAGGGAUUCCAAACAGUGCCGAGGAUGUAAUCUCCGAUCCCGACCUGCUUCGCAACUCCGGGACUCAGCAAAAGGGCAAGAGGGGGUUCAUUCACAUGGAGGAAGAGCAAAUUUUCUUUGGACUGGUUACAUCACAUAAUACGUUUGUUUCAGGAAAAAUAAACAGGCGGGGAAAGUUGUGCAAGGAGAGCACGGCUGUGCCCAAUACACUGCGGAAACUGUUUGAGCGCAGCCCGUGCUUUCAGAAAUCCCCCCAUACAGAGCCCGAGGUCAACCUGAAUUUCGGUGAUCCGCUUCCCGCACGUGCAGGUCAUACAUGUUAAACGGAUCUCAGAGGUAUUCUGAUACCCAGCCUUUUGACAGUACGGUCUCUGUUUAUCAUUCGUGGAUUACUGACCCUUCCCUCCGAGACCUGGUGAUCUUCAGCUUUUUGUUUUGUUUUGUGUCCCAAUGUCAAGUGUAUGACAUCCACGCUUCCUACCGAUAAUCAACUGCCGUUGUUCCUUCUUUGCUAAAGGCACAUACUAUGAUUUGGUCGCAUGCCUUAUAAAAACACGACUGUAACUGUUUCGGGAAUAAAUGAUCCCUUGUAACCGAAGGACAAGCUUCAGACCUCAAAGAUUUCCUGAGCGUGUGACACAAGGAGCCUGUAAGAGUGGCAGCACCUCACUUUACAUGAAAUUCACAGCAACACGGCCAUGAGCAACACCUAACGAGAGUCUGGAGUCUGUACUCCCUGCAAAUAGGGGUCCUUAAGUUCAAUGCCUCUGCAAAUUUGAAGUCACACUUUGUGCACUAGUGAAAAAAUAACAGAGCUGGAGAUGAGGCUCUCUGUGGCCUCCAUCCCACGGGCAAGGAUCCCACGGCUUAACCUCUAAAAGACUCUGUGUUCCUACUUCUCGGUACCAACCCUGUGUGCCUAUGUGUGACCGCAGAGAAUCAAAGACACGCGGGAGUUCCCGUGGUGGCUCAGCAAGUUGAGCUGACAUGGUAUCCGUGAGGCUGCGGGCUCGGUCUCCUUCCUCCCUCGGUGGGUUAAGGGUCCCGGGUUGCCACAAGCUGCGGCAUAGGUUGCAGAUGCGGCUCGGGUCUGGCGUGGCUGUGGCUGUGGUGCAGGCCUGCAGCUGCAGCUCGGAUUCAACCCCUAGCCUGGGAACCUCCCUAUGCUACAGGUGCGGGCGAAAAAGAAAAAAAAAAGAGAAUCAAGGACAUGAAUGUUAGGCAUUUACCGUAAAGAGUCAAAUACUGUCACUACUAGUAAGAAUUUAGAAAAGCACCUUGCAACAACUUACGGAACUAUCUUAAAGAAGCAAUGAUAUCAUGGGAAAUGAUUUGGGUAGAAAUUAUGUGGAAAAUGAAGGAAAAUACAGAGCUGUGGAUUCAAUAGUCAUAUGAGUGACAGACAUGUAAAUUAGGUAUUUAUCAUGGAGGUGAUUCAUAAUUCAUCUUAUACUCUGGAGACCUUUUAAAACAGUGCAUUGCAUAAAACAAGCACUUCGGAAAUGCUGCGACUGAAAUGCACGCACGCCCUGGGGCUGUUUCCUCUUAAAUUCAGUUGAAUAAAAGCUACUCCGGAGUGUUUUUACUUUCACAUUGUUGGAGGUGGCCAGAGGCCCAGUGUGACAUGCGGGCAUGCACCAUACCUCUCUACGGGUACUCCUCUUCACGGAGGACUUGACACUGGAAGUAAUUUACGCUGACAAGAAUGUGGCAAGAUUCCAGCAUUAGGUGCCCCAUUCACGACUGCAUAAGGUGAGAAUUCAAAGAAAAUGGCUUCUCUCACGAUCUCCUCCCUGGACAAGCUAAGGAAACACGGCCUCGGUGACAGGAAGUUAAAUAGAACUGAGCAGCUCUGCUCACACAAGGCUCGAGACAGGGAGCAGUGUCAGCUAGAGGAGGAAGCUUAGAUACCAAAGAUUUUGAGAUGUGACCUACAGCAUCCAGCAUGACCUAUUAGUCAGGUACCAAAGCUACAAAUACGGAAUACCUAGAUGCAUGAGCGAGAGCUACCAUGUGGAUUCAUUAUUUAGAAUUCCAAAAUAUCCCCACAGGUUGAAACAAAUAACCUGGAUAAUGUGGAAACCUCAUAAAAUGCUCAAGAAAAAAAAAUAAAUCUUUGCUGUUAUGUGUCAACUAAUUACUCCGUUAGUACAGAAUGAGGCAGUUCACUUAGUAACGAUUCACAUAAAAAAACAGGACAGUGGGAUGGACUGGGAGUCUGGGGUUAAUAGAUGCAAACUAUUGCAUUUGGAAUGAAUAAGCGAUGAGGUC